rnacentral:tRNA from 1 species
GCUAAUGUAGCUUAAUGCAAAGCAUAACACUGAAGAUGUUAAAAUGGACCCUAAAAAGUUCCGUCAGCA